rnacentral:rRNA from 1 species
UCCAGGCCCUACGGGGCGCAGCAGGCGCGAAACCUCCGCAAUGUGAGAAAUCGCGACGGGGGGAUCCCAAGUGCCAUUCUUAACGGGAUGGCUUUUCAUUAGUGUAAAGAGCUUUUGGAAUAAGAGCUGGGCAAGACCGGUGCCAGCCGCCGCGGUAACACCGGCAGCUCUAGUGGUAGCAGUUAUUAUUGGGCCUAAAGCGUCCGUAGCCGGUUUAAUAAGUCUCUGGUGAAAUCCUGUAGCUUAACUAUGGGAAUUGCUGGAGAUACUAUUAGACUUGAGAUCGGGAGAGGUUAGAGGUACUCCCAGGGUAGAGGUGAAAUUCUGUAAUCCUGGGAGGACCGCCUGUUGCGAAGGCGUCUAACUGGAACGAUUCUGACGGUGAGGGACGAAAGUUAGGGGCGCGAACCGGAUUAGAUACCCGGGUAGUCCUAACUGUAAACGAUGCGGACUUGGUGUUGGGAUGGCUUUGAGCUGUCUCAGUGCCGAAGGGAAGCUGUUAAGUCCGCCGCCUGGGAAGUACGAUCGCAAGACUGAAACUUAAAGGAAUUGGCGGGGGAGCACCACAACGCGUGGAGCCUGCGGUUUAAUUGGACUCAACGCCGGU